rfam:Tstilago hordei, Th4857-4, WGS project CAGI01000000 data, contig: THOR_scaffold_5.00039
GACGCUUUGGUGGAGUGGUUAACACGUAUCCCUGCUACUUCGUUCAAAAUAGCAACCAGCAAGCGCUGGGGGAAGGAUAUCCUCUCUGAGGGCGUGAGUUCGAAUCUCACAGGCGUCG